UGCCCCCUGGCAAAGCGCAAAGAGACGCUUUGGUGGUGGUGUUCGCAUAUCAGUCAGGGGCAGAGCAGAUGGCAGCCCUUUGUUCGUCGUAGCUUGAUGGCUGGCUUAGCGGCCAAAGCUGUUUAAUACCUUGGACACAUAA